GAUGAAGAACGCAGUGAAACGCGAUAGUUAAUGUGAAUUGCAGAAUUCAGUGAAUCAUCGAGUCUUUGAACGCACAUUGCGCCCCCUGGUAUUCCGGGGGGCAUGCCUGUCCGAGCGUCAUUGCUGCCCAUCAAGCGCGGCUUGUGUGUUGGGCCUCCGUCCUCCUCCCGGGGGACGGGCCCGAAAGGCAGCGGCGGCACCGCGUCCGGUCCUCGAGCGUAUGGGGCUUCGUCACCCGCUCUUGUAGGCCCGGCCGGCGCUUGCCGACACAUCAAUCUUUUUUCCAGGUUGACCUCGGAUCAGGUAGGGAUACCCGCUGAACUUAAGCAUAUCAAUAAGCGGAGGA
rnacentral:misc_RNA from 1 species